rnacentral:lncRNA from 1 species
AGCAAAUGUAACUCUGGAGAAGCUGUUUUUUGUUAAAGGGCAUUGCCAGAAGUUAAGGGCCAGGGCCAUCACCCCAGAGUAGGUAGCCAUGUACAUUUCUGUGAUUUAUACCUGUGGAUAGCAGAAGAGAUGAACGGAGAUAAGGUACAAGCAAAGUCGGCUGGGCAUCCAGGUUUCCUACCUCUUACUCUACCUCACUACUAUAUUUUCCUCAUUUCCAAAGUUCCAGUUACAAAAGGCCAUUUGUGUAAGGACAUGUUUGAAGAUCUUGUAGACAGAAUCUGGAAGCUGUGAAGGAGAAGCAUUUAUGAGUAACAGAAAUCGGUAGCUAAACGAAGGCAGCAAAGAAUCCUGCACUAUUCCAUGAUACUGGGCUCAGGACAGGUAAGCCAUACAAGCUCCUUUCAACCUUCCCAGGGAAGAAUGUUAUGCCAUCGAAAAUUACUAGGAAGCUUUCUUACAGGAGAAGAAAAUAAGUUUCUCGAUUGCUUUAAAAAAUUACCUAGAAAAUCAACCCCUUACUUUCUCAUGGCAACUGAAAUAAAUGUAUACGUCAAUGAAAAGAAAUGUAAAUCAAUUUCAAUGUCUUCAUGGAGCUGCAAACUUUGUUAUUGUCCCUCUAGUACAAUAUAGAUUCCAUAAACCAUGUCGAAGGAGACAGAAGAAAUUACUUCCAUGUGAUAUGUUCAGUUGGAUGAGACUUUUUAGGCUUUUGUAUUCUACUUUAUAAGUGCAUUCUAAUUUAAAUGCAUUCUUAAGCAUACCAAAAUAAAAC